CGGGUGGUAAUGCCGGAUGCUCCAGUUGGAUGCAUGUCCUUCUGGGAAAGAUUCAUCGGUAUGGGAUGGGGUCGCGUCCUAUCAGCUUGAUGGCGGGGUAACGGCCCACCAUGGCUUCGACGGGUAGCCGGCCUGAGAGGGCGACCGGCCACAUUGGGACUGAGAUACGGCCCAGACUCCUACGGGAGGCAGCAGUGGGGAAUAUUGCACAAUGGGCGCAAGCCUGAUGCAGCGACGCCGCGUGCGGGAUGACGGCCUUCGGGUUGUAAACCGCUUUUGACUGGGAGCAAGCCCUUCGGGGUGAGUGUACCUUUCGAAUAAGCACCGGCUAACUACGUGCCAGCAGCCGCGGUAAUACGUAGGGUGCAAGCGUUAUCCGGAAUUAUUGGGCGUAAAGGGCUCGUAGGCGGUUCGUCGCGUCCGGUGUGAAAGUCCAUCGCUUAACGGUGGAUCCGCGCCGGGUACGGGCGGGCUUGAGUGCGGUAGGGGAGACUGGAAUUCCCGGUGUAACGGUGGAAUGUGUAGAUAUCGGAAAA
rnacentral:rRNA from 1 species